rnacentral:lncRNA from 1 species
GCUACUUAAAGGAACCAUGUCUGAGUGAUUGGAAGGCGCCCUGGAGAAGAGCACAUCAGACAGGAAUGACCAGCACCGUAGAGGAAAGGGCUGUGAUAUUUUGCAGCAUGUUGGUUCAGGACCUUGGAGAGUGGCAUAAGCCUAUGUGUUCCCUGUCCCUUUCACUGAGUUCUCUGGCCAACAGUGGGGGUGCUUCUAAAGAUUCUAUGUCAGGCAUCAUAAUAAGAUCCCAAUAACAGAGGUCAGUGGUGCAAGAGUUGCCCUAUUUUACCAUAUGGGAGGGAGGUUACUGAGGCAAUAUGGGAAACGAGGAAUAAGUUACCAGGGGCCUGCGGAAACUAGUGGCACCAAAGUGGACAGACUGGU